GUUAAAAAUCCUCAUGAAAUUGUAACUCCCAUAGAAAAAGACACAGUAUGUGUACAGGUUAUGUCAAAUAAUGAGUUACUAAGAGCUACAUUUUCAGAAUGUACAAAUUCAGAAACAUUACAGAAAGGGUUAUAUUGUAUCAAUGGAGGUCCACUAAUAAUACAUAUUCAAGGAACUCAAGUUAACAUAUCAAAGAGUCCUAUACAAGAUAUAGAUAGCAUGCCUAUUCAAUUAAAUGUUUCACAAACAAAUGAGUUUCCAUGGAGAAAGUGGGCAGAUGAGAUUAGGAAAGACAAGAUAUUAUUAUAUUCGUUACAAAAACAGUUGAAAGAAACAGAAAUUCAAUUUGAACAUGAACAGGGUAAAUUAAAGGUGAUAGAACAUGAAUGGUCAAUUGUUUCUAGUUCCUCUUGGUGGAAUGACAUAAUUAAAAGCACAAACACACUUGCUAAAUCAUCUGUGG